ensembl:misc_RNA 7SK 7SK RNA
GGAUGUGAGGGCGAUCUGGCUGCGACAUCUGUCACCCCAUUGAUCGCCAGGGUUGAUUCGGCUGAUCUGGCUGGCUAGGCGGGUGUCCCCCUCCUCCCUCACCGAUCCAUGUGCGUCCCUCCCGAAGCUGCGCGCUCGGUCGAAGAGGACGACCUUCCCCCCCGAGGAGAGGACCAGUCUUCGGUCAAGGGUAUACGAGUAGCUGCGCUCCCCUGCUAGAACCUCCAAACAAGCUCUCAAGGAUAAAGAAACUCUGAGAGGUUAAGCACUCACCCAAGGUCACACAGUUUUCUUCUGGUAGAGAUCAAAUUAGGGU